rnacentral:rRNA from 1 species
GUAAAGAAAAGUCUCUAUCGAGGUUAAAGGUACCCGUACCGCAAACCGACACAGGUGGGUGAGGAGAGUAUCCUAAGGCCAGCGAGAGAACUGUUGUUAAGGAACUCGGCAAAAUGACCCCGUAACUUAGGGAUAAGGGGUGCCACCAUCAGGUGGCCGCAGAGAAUAGGCCCAAGCGACUGUUUACCAAAAACAUAGGUUUCUGCUAAGUCGCAAGACGAUGUAUAGGAGCUGACGCCUGCCCGGUGCUGGAAGGUUAAGGGGAUCUGUUAGAG